rnacentral:rRNA from 1 species
UACGGAGGGGGCUAGCGUUGUUCGGAAUUACUGGGCGUAAAGCGCACGUAGGCGGAUUGCUAAGUCAGGGGUGAAAUCCUGGAGCUCAACUCCAGAACUGCCUUUGAUACUGGCAACCUUGAGUCCGGGAGAGGUGAGUGGAACUGCGAGUGUAGAGGUGAAAUUCGUAGAUAUUCGCAAGAACACCAGUGGCGAAGGCGGCUCACUGGCCCGGUACUGACGCUGAGGUGCGAAAGCGUGGGGAGCAAACAGG